rnacentral:lncRNA from 1 species
CUUCCUAGGCCUGCGUUCGCGUCCGCAAACUCCCGCCUCCUUGCGCUCCCCCCGCCCGGGAGCUUCACGUGCGCCUUGGCGGCCGCGGGGGCAGGUCCGGGCUGGACGCCUGGCGGAGGACGCGGGCAGGUGGCUUGUGGGAGGCUGGGGCAUAGUUGAGCUGCAAGGCGCAAACCGAUGAGGGGCGUCUGCUUUUCACCAGGGCGCCGUCGCUUUUGUCGGGAAACCGGCAGCGUAGGCGCGCAGACCGGGAAGCGGCAAGAAGAUUUGGCCACGAGCUGGGGUCUUCCUGGAACGGAGAGAAAGCACGGAACCCGCACCGGGCUUCUCUGGCAUCGGCAGUCUACGUGCUCCUCGCGCUGGCACCGAGCAGCCACUCCCCGCUGGGUUUGGCAAAGGCUGCUCUUGUAGAAUUUUAAAGGAUUUAGAGUCUCAUUAUUCCUUGAAUCAUAACUUCUGCGGCCGUAGGGAAGUGGACAGGUUGAGGUGGUCUUUCUAUUCGUCAUUCACUCUUAUUUGCAGGUUCUGUUUCAUGUACUUGGACGUCUUUUAGCCUCUCACACCUUGAAAUUCUAGUGUGAAAAAGUGACCUCUGAAGUCUCACGCACUCAACUCGUUUGACGAACUCGUUUGACGUGUUCUCUCUUGCCCUUUGUUGUCUGUUGUCUUGAGUCUCAUAGAAUAGGUUUGAACCUUUCACUGUCGGUUUUGUAGGAGUCACUGAGGAUAUUGACGAGGCAAGUGACAGGGUCGACACUCUUGUAGAGAGGCUGUAUAGCAACCAGGUGUCUGAAGGAUUAGAGGCUGGGGAAAGAGUGGGAAAGCAGUUAGUAGGCUAGGGUAUUUGUGCGUGAGGUGAGGAGACUCAGAGCUAGGGGAGACAUUAGAGCAGGGGUUGGCAAACAUUUUUUGUAAAGGGCCCGAUCAUAUUUUAAGUCUCUGCCUUAACUACUCAGCUCUACCUUGUAACGAGAAAGCAGCCAUAGACAAUACUUGAAUGAGUGUAGCUGUCUUCAGUAAAACUAUGGACAUUGAAUUUUUAAUAUAAUUUCAGAGUUACAGGAAAAUGUGGCCAUCUUUAAUCACUACUCCAACGAUGUUUCAAAUUGAGUGGGCUUCCAUCAGCCAGGGUCUCGGAGACAGGACAAAGUGGAAAACAGCUCCCAAAUAACAUACCUAGGGCAUUUUGGGGACAGACUCUACAGUUUACUAGUGGCCCCAGGACAUCCUGCAAAAGAGGUGAAAUCAGUAUUGGAGAAGUGGUCUCAUGAAGAUGGGAGCACGACUACUACAAUUGACUGCUGACUUCUCACCCAAGGAAGUAACUGUAUCCCAGCCUAAUCUCAGUGGAUAAGCCCACAGGGUUAAGGUCCUCACAACAUUGUGCAACAAGUGUGAAAGAUGUAGUCUCCAUUUACGGCUACUGAAAUAGGCUGAGAGAGGAGAGAGAGACUAAUGGCCCCAGCUCCUCAUGUGGUCUCAUUUUCCAGUUGCCCCAAAACUUUCUGCUCUGAGACCCACUAUGGCUCUUCUUUCUGCACCUCUCACCUGGUGAAGCGACCUGUGGCCCCACUGAUGCUCAGGCUGUGACAGUACUGCAAUGAAAAGAGAGACCAGGGUCUGGAGGUCCCAACAGCAAGUAGUGCUUCUAGAGAGAACUCCUCCCCAGCCAGCACUGCUCAUUGAACAGCUUACAACCCAUGAUGAGCUGUUUUUCUAGGAGGCCCUCUUCCAUUCCCCAGGCCCAAACGCCUCUGUGAGAUAUGGGACUAAACAAUGACCCACACCUCUUGGCUAAACACUCUGGAUAACACUGGUUACUCAGCUUCCUCUAGCCUUCCAGGACAGCUCACAACAUACCCCACAUUCCAAUAACCUCAGUGCUAGAAGUCCACACCUCCUAGAUCAUUAUCGCUUGUCUCAACACUGCUUUUUACCUUCCCCACUCUAUCUUGUUUAUGCUGCUCUGCAAUCUCAGACUCCUCCACUGCCCUCUAUAAUUCUUGGUUUUCCAUUACCAAACUUUUCUACAUCCCAAAACUGCUCUCUGAACAUUUGCUUCCCCUUCUUCCUCUAACUGAAACUUGGCUGUUCCCUGAGGAAAUUUCUUUCCUAGAAGCAGUUUCCUCCCAAAUGGAAGAUGUCUUGUCUUUCUGUCAGAGGUGUUCGAGCUAGAGUGACUCCAUCAUGAGCAGGGGCUGGAUAAAAUGAGGCUGAGACCUACUGGACCACAUUCCCAGGAGGUUAGGCAUUUGUAGUCACAAGAUGAGAUAGGAGGUCAGCAGGACUGGUAUCACAAGAUUCAGGCAAAACAGGACACCAUAAAGAAGCCAGCCAAACCCCACCAAAACCAAGAUGGCAGUGAAAGUGAUACCUGGCCAUCCUCACUGCUCAUUAUACACUAACUGAAUGCAUUAGCAUGCUAAAAGACACUCCCACCAGUGCCAUGACAGUUUACAAUACCAUGGCAACGUCUGGAAGUUACCUUAUACAUUCUAAAAAGGGGAGGAACCCUUUUUGGAACCAUUCUGGGAAUUGUCUGCCCCUUUCCCAGAAAACUCAUGAAUAAUCUACCCCUUGUUUAUCAUAUAAUCAAGAAAUAAUCAUAAAAAUAGCCAACCAGUAGCCCUUGGGGCUGCUCUGUCUAUGGAGCAGCGAUUCUUUUGUUUCUUUACUUCACUCAUGAACUUGCCUUCAGUUUACUCUGUGGACUCACCCUGGAUUCCUUCUUGCACAAGGUCCAAGAACCCUCUCUUGGGGUCUGCAUCGGGACCCCUUUCUGGUAAACCUUUAUUUGGCUGUAGGUAGAGUAAGUAUCUUUUUUCUUCCUAUUGAUCCUUCCAAACUAUCUAUCCUUCUUUUGACUUUGAAAACCCUAAGUCUGUUGAGUUCAUGUCUUCAGACUUUACCACCUAAUCUCUCUUCUAAUAGUUGUCAUCUUUCAGAAUCUCUUGCUGUCUCUCAUCAUUCUUUGAUGACUUUAUCAUCUAGUUUAUUGUAUUUGAUUUCCUCCAUUAUUCCUACAAUCCUGUUGGUUUUGCUGUCCUUGUAGAUUAUCCACCCAGUACCCUGGUCUCUCAAUUUCUUGAACUUCUCUACUUCAAAUAUCUUCACUCCACUGCAACCAGCCACUGCCAUUCUUACAGCCACACCAUAGACAUUAUUAACAGUCAAUACCAAUAGCCUUUAAAAUCUCUGGACAGCAAUCACUAUCCUGCUGUCUGAUUAUCACAUUUUGAGUCUCUAUCUCACUCCUACCAGUUCCCUUGGAACUGUUCUUUGACCCUAUAGGGACAUUCAAUCCAUUGAUCCUGCUGAUUUUAUUUUUUAAUUUCCCUAACUUUCAUAUUGUUAUUUAUCUUCUUGUUAAGCUAGCUUCCAUGGUCUGGCACUUGAGCCAGAUUCUUGCAGAAAACCUGAACUUUCUUGUUUUCCUUUCUCUCCACUGAACACAUCUGAAAAAACUCACCCCUUGUGAAACCCAGUUAUCCUCCUAUGCUGUAACUACACCUGAGAAACUAAUGUUACUAGAGGAAAUUCAUACAACCAUGAUGACUGGACUUGCCUAAAGUUUUCCACUGUAAAUCCCAAAUGGAAUCCAAUGCUGCUAGAUGAUGCUGUUUCACUUCCUUGGUACAUUCACCCUCCUACACUCUAGGACAAUCUUUCUUCUAAAACCUCCAUUCUUUCAUCCCAUUCACUCUCAGCCAAUAACCUCGGCCAAGGAAAUGUAGCUAACUUAGAAUUGCCUCAUCUUCCCAUCACUAAACCUACCAAUCUACUUGCAUCUGUACCCUCCAUGUAUUUUAUGUUUCUUUCUGAACACUGGAAGUAGUGUUUCUACUUCUGAUGUCCAGCCCCUCUGUUAGCGUCUUAGAUCACAUCACAUCCACAUUUGUUUACUCAAGGACCUCAAUACUGGAGUUACCCUCUCUCUUCUUAAUUAUUGUUUUUUUUCAUCAUGGAAUUAUUCCUAAUGAUAUACAAACAUGUUUUAUUAUUAAUCAUCCCUUGAAUCCCAUGAUUUGAGGGAACCUAAAAAAAUAAAAUAAAAUAAAACUAUAUCUCCCUUGACGUCACAUCAUCCUCAUAUGUUUUAUUUCUUUCCCUCUCUUCACAGUCUUCAAACUAUUUGUUUAUACUUUCUGUCUCUACUUUCUCAUUUUUUUCCUUUCAUAUGCCCAUUCCAAGUACACUUUUUUGUACCCACCACUCUGUUGAAAUAGAUCCUAUCCAGUUUAUCAAUAGCAUCUAAUAUAGUGGUCAAUUUUCUGUCUGAAUCUAAUUCAGCCUCUCACUAGCAUCUGACACAGUUGAUCUCUCUUUCCUUCUUUUUUUCAUGCUUAAUGAUGUUUAUUGUUUGCUUCACAAAUGAAACAUGUUAGUCAAUAAUUCUGAAGUUAUGAUUAUUAAUAGAUAAUGAAAGCCUAUUCAAAAUUCACUUUACUCUUCAAUGAUGUAACUUUUCAUUUGGAAAUUUCUCUGCAGUCUCUCAAUAAUUUACACAUGGAGAUAAUUGAAUAUAUGACAUGUUUUGAAGGGUAACUUCUAAUUGAGUAGAUACAUAUCUCCUUUUUUGAAACCCUUUCUUCUCUAAGCCAUCACAUUUUCCUCCAGAUUUUAUCUGAUUUUCCUCUGGCUUCCCUUUUCAGACCUUUGCUUGUUCUGGAAAGGGAAACCAGUGAGGUAGGAAUAAAAUCUUUACUGCACUUCUGUGUUGGAAUGUCCCUGCAUUGGGAGCACAGACUCUGGAGUCAAAUUGCUUGAGUUUAAAUUCUGAUUCUAUUACUUCCUAGCUAUAUGACCUUGAGAAAUUUAUUGUAUCAUUUCCCUUUUUGAAAAAUGAGGAAAAAUCAUAGUACCUGUUUCUUAGAGAUGUGGUAAAGAUUAAAUGAGUUUGGCUGGGCACGGUGGCUCACACCUGUAAUCCCAGCUCUUGGGAGGCUGAGGCAGGCGGAUUGCUUGAGCCCAGGAGUUCAAGACCAGCCUGCAACAUGGCAAGACCCCAUCUCUACAAUUAAAAAGUCGGGUGUGGUGGCCUGUACCUUUGGUCCCAGCUGCUCAGGAGGCUGAUGCUGGAGGAUCACUUGAGCCCAGGAGUUCGAGGCUGCAGUGAGCCAUGAUCAUGCCAUUGCCAUCCAGCCUGGGCAACAGAGUGAGACUAUCUCAAAAAAAAAGUAAAUAUAGACCAUCUUAGUGUCUGUUUAUAGUAAAUGCUAUAUUAAUGGCUAUACUAAUGGUAGCUAUUGUUAUUUCCCAAGCUUUUAAAUUUGGUGCUGAAAUGGAAGGGGACUCGCCUUUUGGGUUAUGGAGCUGGAAAAUGCCAGUUAAUGACUGCUGGUAGUCCUUUCCCUACCAUGUGGAAAAAGUCUGCAUGAGACGAGAUUGAGGUUAACACAUGAAAGGAGUCAAGAAAAAGGGAGGAGUAUAAUAGUCAACAUUCUUGAUUAUGAACAACAGAUCCAUUCCAAAUAGUCCAAAAAUAAGCAAAAGUGGAUUUAUUAAAAGAUAUUAGGUAGCUCAAGGAAUUUCCAGAAUUGCUGGAAAACAGGCUUGAUAGUUCAUUGCCAUGGACAUUGAAGCUAAGAACACUGGCUGAUCUUGCUGAAAAAUUAUACUGGCAAAAACAUCAUUCCUACUACCUGUUGCCAAUUGAUAUGGCACCAACCCUGAACCUGAAGCCAUAAUCUGUGUUGCUGUUGCCCCAAAAGAACUAGAUUCCUUGACCACUGUCCUUGUCAGGAAAUCAAUCUCCCAGUGUGGGGCCAUCACUGAUUAUAACUCCCCUCCACAUUCAAGUCUCCUGUAGUUGUAUCUGUUUGGCAAUGCCUAGAUCAUACACCUUUACUCUAAAUGCAAAGAAAUCCAGUAAAUGUAAUUUUUUAUAUUCUACUUUUAGAAGAAAUAAUUCACAAUAUGGAAAACUAUAAAAAUGUGAAAAUGUUUUUCAGCAGCUAUAAAUAAUAUGUUUUCAAUAUAGAUUCCUGUGGUAGAGAGGGGGAACUGUUGACUUCAUGUGAAAUCCUUGGAUCCAGCUGGACCUAAGACUACUCUUUGGAACUUCAUGUUUUAUGAAACAAUAAGUUUCUUCCUUUAGUUGAGAGAGUUUGAGUUAGCUUUUUGUCAGUUCUAUUUAGUGUUAUUAUUAAUGCAGCUUCCAACCUUUCUGAUCCAAGGUUCACUACUGCAAUAUCCCCAUAAUUGGUCUCUUGCCCCCCAUACCCACCCUUCUAUCUUUUCUCUUCUCUAGAGUCAGGUAAUUUUUCAUAAAUAUAACUAUUUAUGUCAUCCUUCUGCCCAAAACUCUAAAUGGCUUUCUGUUGCUUUUUGAUGAAAACCAAGGUUCCAACAUAGUAUAUACUCUCUAUAACUGGGCUUUGUUCACUUUUUCAGGCUUAACCUUUUUGCUGAUUUUUCUGCUCAAGUCUUGCUGGCCUUAAUUUUGUUCCUUAAACAUAGCAACUUCUCAUCUUAUCAAGGCCUUCAGACAGGCUGUUUCUUGCCCCUAGAGAGCUCCUUCCACUCUGUCAUUCUCCCUUAUCCUCCUACUGCUCAAUCCCCAGCAAUCUCCUCUUUAUCUUUUGUCUUUUGACUUAGAUGUUACUUCAAGAAUGUCAUUAGAAUGGGAGCUCUUUGGAGCCAGGGAAUUUGUCUGUUUUGUUCACUGUUGUAUGCCCACUGCGUAGAGCAGUGAAUGUUGAAUGAACAAAUGAGGGAGGAAGGGUUUCAUCCUCCCAGUCCGUGAGAUUUCUUCUUACUUUCCCAGCAUGCCCAAAGCCUGUAAUUUUUUGUUUAAAUCGGCAUUCACAUCAAAGCACACUGCUAUAGUUAGGAUGUUUGUCCCCCAAACCUUGAAAUUUGAUCUCCAGUGUUGGAGGUGGGGGCCCAAUGAGAGCUGUUUGGGUCAUGGGGGCAGAUUCAUCAUGAAUGGCUUGGUUCCAUCCUCACAGUAAUUAGUGAAUUCUCGCUCUGUUAGUUCCCACCAGAGCUGGUUGUUAAAAAGAGCCUGGUACCUCCCUCCCCUCUCUCUCUUGCAUCUUCUCUCACCACGUGAUAUCUGCAUGCACUGGCUCCCCUUUGACUUCCACCGUGCACUGGCUCCCCUUUGACUUCCACCGUGAAUGGAAGCAACCUGAGGCUUUUAUCAGAUGCCCAAUCUUUCAGCCAGCAGAACCAUGAACCAAAUAAACAUUUUUUUCUUUAUAAAUUAUUCAGUCUCAGGUUUUCCUUUAUAGCAAUGCAAAUGGACUAAGACAGAAACUAUCAACAGAAUGAAAAAGCAACCAUGGAAUGGUAGAAAAUGUUUGCAAAUCUUAUAUCUGAUAAGGGAUAAUAUCCAGAGUAUAUAAAGAACUCCUAAAACUCAACAAUAACAACAAAAAAUCCAAUUUAAAAAUGGGGAAAGGACUUAAAUAGACAUUUCUCCAAAGAAUGUAUACAGGUAUCUAAUAAAUGUGAGAAGAUGCCCAACACCACUAAUUAUUUGUAAAUGAACAUCAAAAUCACAAUGAGAUACCACUUCAUACUGGCUAUUAUUAAAAACAAACAAACAAAAAACCAGAAAAUAACAAGUGUUGAUGAGGAUAUAGAGAAAUUAGGGCACUAGGACAUUACUGGCAGGCAUGUAUAAUAGUGCACCCUCUGUGAAAAAUGGCAUAGUGGUUUCUCAAAAAAUUAAAAAUAGGCUUACCAUAUGAUCCAGCAAUUCCACUUCUGGGUAUAUUCAAAAUAUUGAAAGCAGGGACUCAAACAGAUAAUGGUACAACAAUGUUCACAGCAGCAUUAUUCACAAUAGCCAAAAGAUGGAAAGAACCCAAGUGCCCAUCAAUGGAUGAAUGGAUAAACAAAAUGUGAUAUUUACAUAUAACAGAAUUAUUCAACCUUAAAAAGUAAUGACAUUCUGAUGCUUGCUACAACCUGGGUGAACCUUGAAGACAUUAUCCUAGGUGAAAUAAGCCAGAAACGAAAGGACAAAUAUUGUAUAAUUCCACUUGUGUGAGAUAUCUAGUGAAGUCAAAUUCAUAAAGACAACAGAUAAAAUGGUCAAAAGAGGUGGGGGGCAGAGGGAAAAGGAGGAUUAUUAUUUAUUGGGUACAGAAUUUCAGC